rfam:Trichobilharzia regenti genome assembly, scaffold: TRE_scaffold0052678
AUCUAGCUGACGAGUCCCAAGUAGGACGAGAUGAUCAUCCUGGAU